UUUAGGUCUUGACUACUCUGUCGGCAACAAAAGCCUUAAUUGGCAAUCAAUGUGUGUAAAGCCAUUUCGGAAAGAAUGAGUGGGCUGCACGUGGCCACAGGCUGCUCCUACAGUGGGAUCACAGGGAACUUGCUCGAGAAUCUGAUGUUAGAGGAUGUUUUACAGCUCCUGUUCUCCCUGCCGGAAGGACAGCUACCUUUUCACAGAAUAGAUCCCUGCUCAGGAACCCACUGUGGGCCAAUCAACAGCUUCCCAAAACGAGUCAGGGAGUUCCAGAAGCUCCCAUUCCAGUGCCAGCUGAGAAUCCAUUUGGAUAAUAACGGAGUAAAAACUCUGGUUUGGAGAAA